UUACGGCCAUAUCAUGUUGAAACAUCGGUUCCCGUACAAUCACCGAAGUUAAGCAACGUUGAGCUUGGUCAGUACCUAGAUGGUUGACCGUUUGGGAAUACCAGGUGCUGUAAG